UAGGGAAUCUUCGGCAAUGGACGGAAGUCUGACCGAGCAACGCCGCGUGAGUGAAGAAGGUUUUCGGAUCGUAAAGCUCUGUUGUAAGAGAAGAACGAGUGUGAGAGUGGAAAGUUCACACUGUGACGGUAUCUUACCAGAAAGGGACGGCUAACUACGUGCCAGCAGCCGCGGUAAUACGUAGGUGGCAAGCGUUGUCCGGAAUUAUUGGGCGUAAAGCGCGCGCAGGUGGUUUAAUAAGUCUGAUGUGAAAGCCCACGGCUCAACCGUGGAGGGUCAUUGGAAACUGUUAAACUUGAGUGCAGGAGAGAAAAGUGGAAUUCCUAGUGUGGCGGUGAAAUGCGUAGAGAUUAGGAGGAACACCAGUGGCGAAGGCGGCUUUUUGGCCUGUAACUGACACUGAGGCGCGAAAGCGUGGGGAGCAAACAGGAUUAGAUACCCUGGUAGUCCACGCCGUANCGAUGAGUGCUAAGUGUUGGUCUCAUAAGAGAUCAGUGCUGCAGCUAACGCAUUAAGCACUCCGCCUGGGGAGUACGACCGCAAGUU
rnacentral:rRNA from 1 species